UGGGGAAUCUUGCGCAAUGGGCGAAAGCCUGACGCAGCCAUGCCGCGUGAAUGAUGAAGGUCUUAGGAUUGUAAAAUUCUUUUAGCAGGGACGAUAACGACGGUACCUGCAGAAAAAGCCCCGGCUAACUUCGUGCCAGCAGCCGCGGUAAUACGAAGGGGGCUAGCGUUGCUCGGAAUUACUGGGCGUAAAGGGAGCAUAGGCGGGUUAUCAAGUUGGAGGUGAAAGCCCAGGGCUCAACCUUGGAAUUGCCUUCAAAACUGAUAACCUAGAGGAUGAUAGAGGUAAGUGGAACUCCGAGUGUAGAGGUGAAAUUCGUAGAUAUUCGGAAGAACACCAGUGGCGAAGGCGACUUACUGAAUCAUUACUGACGCUGAGGCUCGAAAGCGUGGGGAGCAAACA
rnacentral:rRNA from 1 species